rnacentral:lncRNA from 1 species
UCGUGGUGGACGCUCUUCAGGCCAUCUUGGCUAGAGUGUCUUGUCGGAGCAGGAGAGCCACAGGAGCGCAGGCACCAGCACCAGCAGCACGCAGGGACUCAUCCCCAGAGGAUGAUGAGGCGACUGAUGAGGACACCGAUUAGUCUUCCCAUCUCUAUCUCUUCUCCUCUUAUUAUGAACUUGUUUAUUUAUUUUCCGAACUUGUAGGAUUUAUGUUUUUAAACUUAUAUUUUAUGUUUAAGGAUGCUUAUUAUUUCUUAUGCUUGAUUGUCUAACAGAGCUAACAUUAGGCAAAGAAACUUCGAGUUUGACUCCAAGCACAUGCGGAAAUGUCUGUGCUUCGCCGUCGAUCGAUUUGGAGAGGAUUACAU